AUGAACGCUAGCGAUAGGCUUAACACCUGCAAGUCGAGGGGCAGCACAAGGUAGCUUGCUAUCUGGGUGGCGACCGGCGCACGGGUGCGUAACGCGUAUGCAACUUGCCCUAUACAGGAGGAUAACCCGUCGAAAGACGGACUAAUACUGCGUAUGCUCACAACUUGGCAUCAAGUGGUGAGGAAAGAAAUUCGGUAUAGGAUAGGCAUGCGUCCCAUUAGCUUGUUGGUGAGGUAACGGCUCACCAAGGCAACGAUGGGUAGGGGAACUGAGAGGUUUAUCCCCCACACUGGUACUGAGACACGGACCAGACUCCUACGGGAGGCAGCAGUGAGGAAUAUUGGUCAAUGGGCGCGAGCCUGAACCAGCCAAGUCGCGUGAAGGAUGACUGUCUUAUGGAUUGUAAACUUCUUUUAUACGGGAAUAACAAGAGUCACGUGUGACUCCCUGCAUGUACCGUAUGAAUAAGCAUCGGCUAACUCCGUG
rnacentral:rRNA from 1 species